rnacentral:rRNA from 1 species
AGAGUUUGAUCCUGGCUCAGGAUGAACGCUAGCUACAGGCUUAACACAUGCAAGUCGAGGGGCAGCAUGUUGGUUGCUUGCAACCAAUGAUGGCGACCGGCGCACGGGUGAGUAACGCGUAUCCAACCUACCCUUGUCCAUCGGAUAACCCGUCGAAAGGCGGCCUAACACGAUAUGCGGUUCUCAGCAGGCAUCUAACGAGAACGAAAUGUGAAGGAGAAGGAUGGGGAUGCGUCUGAUUAGCUUGUUGGCGGGGUAACGCCACAAGGCGACGAUCAGUAGGGGUUCUGAGAGGAACGGUCCCCCANAUUGGAACUGAGACACGGUCCAAACUCCUACGGGAGCA